rnacentral:rRNA from 1 species
UACAGAGGGGCAAGCGUUGUUCGGAAUUACUGGGCGUAAAGGGCGCGUAGGCGGCCCGCUAAGUCGAACGUGAAAUCCCCGGGCUCAACCCGGGAACUGCGUCCGAGACUGGUGGGCCUGGAAUCCGGGAGAGGGAUGUGGGAAUUCCAGGGUGAUUAGCGGUGGAAAUGACGUAGAUAUCUGGAAGGAACACCGGUGGCGAAGGC